GAGCCCAGCCCCGCGGAGCCCCUGGUCCCCAGGAACCUUGGAUGGCUCCCCAAAAGUUCUUUCCGUCAUUCCAGGAAACCCCCGUUUACACUAAGCCCCUGACACCCCUCACGAAGGGACCCGGCCCCGGCCCCCUUACCUCGCCACGAAGCGCCCCCGCCGCCACCCCGGGUCCCUCCCUCCCGCUGCCUCCUCGGCCGCCCGCGCCAUCGCCCGUGCGCUUUUGUGCUCCCGACUCCCCGCUCUCCGCUGUGCGGGGACCCUCCCGCCCCGGUCACCCCGGCCGCUGGACUCUUUCCCUUUGGUGAGAGGCGCGAGUUGUAAAGAAGCCCCGUCCUCCGGCGAGUCCUUCCUGCGCUUCCCUCUCGACACAGACGACCUGGAUUCUGUUGGGGCCCGGGAAGCUCGAUGGUGCAGGUGGCAGUGGCUGCACUCGGGAUUUCUAGCAUUUCAGGGGUGAUUGCAGGCUGGACCCCAGUGGCGGACCCCAUGGCUGCAGCCUUCCUUUCGAAAGCAGGGGUGUGAGACCGGAAACCCCUCGGUGGCUGCUUCCUGUGUUUCAUCACCUGGCUGCUUCUCUUCCAGCACCCCCCUCCCCACUCCCCAUCCACUGUCAUUCACUUCCUGGGAUAGUGUUUGUCCAUGUUCAUGGUGUUCUCUGCCCAAAACUAGCCUUUCUCAUCUGCACUUUCUACUCAGACUCCUCUUAAAAUGUGGGUUUUCCUGAGAAGUCUCCAGCUACCCAUUGCCACUACACCGCACCCCCUUAUUAUGUGGUGUCUUCCUUCGCCCAUAGAAUAUGAGCUACUAGCACACAUAAGACUGUCAAUUUAAAAAAAAAAAAAGUGUUAUGUAAUGAGAUGGUUUUUAUGGUCGUUAUAUAUGCAUACUCAGUCUUCACUCAGACCGGACUAUUGGCUGCUUGAGUCAGGACGGUGCAUUCUUCUGCAUCUCUACUAGGCUCUACAUAGAUGUGAUCAAGUAAAUACCUACCGAAAGAAGGAAAGAACCUUCCAGGCCUGGAACUGCUCCUGUCUCCUAGGCUCAGGCUUACAUAUCCCGAGCGCCUAGACCCAAAUGGCCAGCAGAGGGCAACCGGCUGCUGUGGGAGGGAGGCCCGGCCACGGCUUACAAAAUGGAGGCGCAGGCUGGAGAAGGGGAACGCCGAGCUCGCUGGCCUUGAAGAUGGACCUUUUGCUUUCAGAUGCUGCCCUUAACUUCCCAGGGUGGAGACCAAGACUCUCCAACUCUGCGUGUAGUAGGUUCCCAUUUUGACUGCCCGCGCCCCCCCUUCCCGAGUCCUCGGUCCUUAGCCCCUGUCCCUUCCCUUCCAACAUCCCAUCUUUCUGUCCUUUCUUUGCAUCGCACGGUCCGGCCCCCCUCUCACUUCACGUGUUGACCCCGCUGUCAGUCGUUAGCUUCUGGCUCAGACCUCGGCCACCGGGGCUGGCAUCUCAACCUCCCGGGGCUGCCUGUAAAUAUCACAACCUCACUUUUCUUCCUCUGUUGGAUCAAUCCUUCAAUGACUCAGAACACAACACUUACACUUGAUGCUCCAAAUCACCUGUUGUUUUAAACAUUUUCCCAAUAAAAUACACUCGCUAUCCCAAACCCAUACUAAAGACAACACUGUCAUCAAAGCCUUGGCUAUAUUUAAAACCAUGGGUUUCUCACUGGGCUUCAGAGACAACAUUCUCUUAGACUAUGCCUUCUCCAGGGCCCUCCUUGGUAGGCCAACUUAAAAGGCAGUCCUGUGGAGCUCUCCAGCCACUGCAGUGUGAGUUCCAUCCCCGGCCAGGGAGGGACCCUCAUGGC